UACGGGGGGGGCAAGCGUUGUUCGGAAUUACUGGGUGUAAAGGGCGCGUAGGCGGCCUUCUAAGUCGGACGUGAAAUCCCUCGGCUUAACCGAGGAACUGCGUCCGAUACUGAAAGGCUUGAAUCCGGGAGAGGGAUGUGGAAUUCCAGGUGUAGCGGUGAAAUGCGUAGAUAUCUGGAGGAACACCGGUGGCGAAGGCGGCAUCCUGGACCGGUAUUGACGCUGAGGCGCGAAAGCUAGGGGAGCAAACGGG
rnacentral:rRNA from 1 species